rnacentral:rRNA from 1 species
GACGAACGCUGGCGGCGUGCUUAACACAUGCAAGUCGAACGGAAAGGCCCUGCUUUUGUGGGGUGCUCGAGUGGCAAACGGGUGAGUAACACGUGAGUAACCUGCCCUUGACUUUGGGAUAACUUCAGGAAACUGGGGCUAAUACAGGAUAGGAGCUCCUGCUGCAUGGUGGGGGUUGGAAAGUUUCGGCGGUGGGGGAUGGACUCGGGGCUUAUCAGCUUGUUGGUGGGGUAGUGGCUUACCAAGGCUUUGACGGGUAGCCGGCCUGAGAGGGUGAACGGCCACAUUGGGACUGAGAUACGGCGCAGACUCCUACGGGAGGCAGCAGUGGGGAAUAUUGCACAGUGGGCGGAAGCCUGAUGCAGCAACGCCGCGUGCGGGAUGACGGCCUUCGGGUUGUAAACCGCUUUCGCCUGUGACGAAGCGUGAGUGACGGUAAUGGGUAAAGAAGCACCGGCUAACUACGUG